GUUGUUGUGGCCGAGUGGUCAAGGCGAUGGACUUGAAAUCCAUUGGGGUCUCCCGCGCAGGUUCGAAUCCUGUCAACACGAAAGAUACU